AGGGAGGGGAGGUAGGUUAGCACUUUGAAAUGUGCACCAAGGCUUUUUUUUUUUUUUAAACUAACAGGUGGCUGCACCAAAGGGUCUGAAUAAUCUCUUAGCCACCAAGGAAUCUGUUUGCUGUUGUCCUGGACCUUUUGGCUUUAACUCCUGACAGUCUAUCAAUAAAUUAUAGGCUUCACUGAAGGCCACAUUUAUUUCUUUUGUAGCCUUAGCUCUGUGCUUUAACUAAACACCUCUAUCUUUUGUUGAAAAGCAUCUACAUGCAUACAACUACCUGAUAAAUGACAGCAUGUCAACGUGCUGUGAUGUCACUGUCAUACUGGCGGUCCCUAAGCCUUUGUUGCCAUGGCAGCCCUCCCUGUUAUUUGUGGUCCUCCAGCCACAUCUCCUCUUCAUUGCUCUCUAGCCCUCCCUCUCUUUUUUCCUUCAUUUCUGAUAAUUUCCCAACCAGUGCUCACCCGAAGAAAACCCAGAAUCCUGCAAGGGGGAAAGUGACCGACAGACACAGCAGGUCAUCUUCAGUAAACCUGCUCAGCCCAUCAGAGGAAGCCUGCUGUCUCAUCAUGUCAGUAGUCCCCCUCUUUGCCUCUGUGGAGCCAUGGUCGCCCACUGGUUUCAACUCUACUACAACUGCACUGAGCCUCCUGAAGCCCACCACGCUCCUCCCUGAAGAGAGCCGCCGCAUGGAACUAUACAUCAUCGUGAUUAUUGUCAUUUUCUGCAUUGUUUGCUUCCUCCUCCUGCUGGCCUUCUUCUAUGCCUCCUGUUUCCAUCUCUCCAUCGGUUUGUCUCGGAAAGAGUCGCGAUCGGCCCGCGGAUGCAGCCCAGAACCAGAGGACACCACAUUCAAGCAGAGCUCAAUUGAAAACCAGUCGGUACAAAAUGCAGUCUGAGCGGGUAGAGCAGGAAAAGUGAUAUCUGUAGGCUCGCUUCUCAUUUUGACUGGAAACUGCAACCACAGACAAACUUUGCAAGCACACAGGUUUGGUGUGUUUUAUAGCUGAAAGAAAAUGGGAAAUAUAAAAUAAAGGAAUGUAGAUUUAA